rnacentral:snRNA from 1 species
GGAUGUGAGGGCAAUCUAGCUGUGACAUCUGUCAACCCAUUGAUUUGGCUGAUCUGGCUGACUGGGCUGGUGUCUCCUUCAUCCCUCACCACUCCAUGUGUUCCCUCCUGAAGUUGCAGGCUUGAUGGAAAAGGACCAUCCCCGCUAGAGGAGGACCAUUCUCCAGUUAAAGGUAUAGGAGUAGCCAUGCUCCCCUGAUAGAACCUCCAGACAAGCUCUCAAGGUCCAAUUUUUCCCCCCCAAAUUGGAGUCUCACUCCAUCGCCCAGGCUGGAGUGCAGUGGCAUGCUCACAGACGCCCCAGCGUUGACCUGCUGGGCU